GGAAGAGUUUGAUCCUGGCUCAGAUUGAACGCUGGCGGCAUGCCUUACACAUGCAAGUCGAACGGUAACAGGUCUUCGGAUGCUGACGAGUGGCGAACGGGUGAGUAAUACAUCGGAACGUGCCCGAUCGUGGGGGAUAACGCAGCGAAAGCUGUGCUAAUACCGCAUACGAUCUACGGAUGAAAGCGGGGGAUCGCAAGACCUCGCGCGGACGGAGCGGCCGAUGGCAGAUUAGGUAGUUGGUGGGAUAAAAGCUUACCAAGCCGACGAUCUGUAGCUGGUCUGAGAGGACGACCAGCCACACUGGGACUGAGACACGGCCCAGACUCCUACGGGAGGCAGCAGUGGGGAAUUUUGGACAAUGGGCGCAAGCCUGAUCCAGCCAUGCCGCGUGCAGGAUGAAGGCCUUCGGGUUGUAAACUGCUUUUGUACGGAACGAAAAAGCUCUCUCUAAUACAGGGGGUGAAUGACGGUACCGUAAGAAUAAGCACCGGCUAACUACGUGCCAGCAGCCGCGGUAA
rnacentral:rRNA from 1 species